GUCCGGAUAGCUCAGUGGUCAGAUCAUCUGCCCGUUAAGCAGGAGACCCAGGUUCGAAUCCAGGUCUGGCACA